AUUGAACGCUGGCGGCAGGCUUAACACAUGCAAGUCGAGCGGGGUGAUGGUGCUUGCACUAUCACUUAGCGGCGGACGGGUGAGUAAUGCUUAGGAAUCUGCCUAUUAGUGGGGGACGACAUCUCGAAAGGGAUGCUAAUACCGCAUACGUCCUACGGGAGAAAGCAGGGGAUCACUUGUGACCUUGCGCUAAUAGAUGAGCCUAAGUCGGAUUAGCUAGUUGGUGGGGUAAAGGCCUACCAAGGCGACGAUCUGUAGCGGGUCUGAGAGGAUGAUCCGCCAAACUAGGACUGAAGCACGGCCCAGACUCCUACGGGAGGCAGGAGUGGGGAAUAUUGGAAAAUGGGGGGAACCCUGAUCCAGCCAUGCCGCGUGUGUGAAGAAGGCCUUAUGGUUGUAAAGCACUUUAAGCGAGGAGGAGGCUCUUUUGGUUAAUACCCAAGAUGAGUGGACGUUACUCGCAGAAUAAGCACCGGCUAACUCUGUGCCAGCCGCCGCAGUAA
rnacentral:rRNA from 1 species